UUUUUUUUUUUGCCUAUUAAAAGGUUUAUUUCUUCCCUAUGCUCAGAAACAAAGAUAUGGCCUUGCUGGUCCCUCCCCUGAAAUCUCAUCUUCAAGGAUUGGGAGGCAGAAGUGGUGACUGGGGGUGGGUUGGUAUGAGGCCAAACAUGGGUGUCCUUUCUACUCCUUUUCUCUACAUUCACUCCUUGCUUUCAGUGUUCCCUUCCCAAAACUUUAGGUGUGUACACAGCUUGCCACCCUAGGGAGCAGGGCUGGGGUGGCAGAGCUGAAGUCAAAAGAUUAAUGCCCACUUUCAACGAGUGAUGGGUCCAGUGUGUAUCUCGGGGGGACGGACGGGGAAGGAGGAGAGGCAAAUGUCGGCAUACUGUCUCACAGACACUCUGAUCUUCUUGACGGUCUUGGCAGAAUUGUUGGUGACGUGGACGUUGACAUUGAGGGGUUCCCCAUGGUAGUACAGCUCUUU
rnacentral:lncRNA from 1 species